CGGAGCUGCCGGCUGUGGGGCAGCAGUCUGGCAGCUCCUCCGUCUCAAGGACUCUGCUUUUGGCUGGAGCUGGGGCAUGGAGAGGGCCUUUUCCUUUCAUGCUGAUUCAUGCAUUCAAGCCUCAUGCUGGAAGAAAGGAGGGGGUGGAGCUCAGCACUUGGAACAAAGUUCAGACAUGAAGGGGCCGGCAGACUGGGCUGGAAUUUAUACCAUAUGUACCAGGCAUGAGUGGAAUGUUUGGCAUCUUGGCUGAGCCAGAGCAGCCUGUACGGAAGAGUUGGGCCUUACUCUGUGAUCACCGCAGCUUGCACGAUAGCAGCCUUGUGCUCUGCUGCCUGCGCUGCUGGCUAACUAGCACCAGUUCUUCAGUGGCAAGCUUUACGUCCGUCUAGUAGCUAAAGCUGCCAGUUGAAGAACUGUUGAAUGUAGCCACUCUCGUCUUGUCACUUGGGUUGUCUGAUGUCAGCUGGAUGCACCCAUUGGGAGAGCAGGAUGGGGCUGAUGUGCCUCAGUCUCUGAAUCCUGGCACCCUAUAGUUUUAAUAUUGAACCUCAAAAGGAAGCUUUUCUAUAAACCAAGGAGACUGUUGAAAGAUCUGUCAAUCUUCUUCUCUAGUGGCCUGUUCCUCCCUCCUGUGCAUGCCCCUGCCCCUGCCCCAGCAUGCAGAAGCUGGAUGGACAGCAGCCCUGUUGUGCACACCCUUGGAAGGGUGGCGUGGAGCGUGCCCCCUGCGGUACUGCCAAGCACCAUCCCAAGAGGUGCAUACAGGCUGUUCCCCCGAGCACCAUGGACAUUGCUGCUGCAUUCUGCAAGGAAGAGUAAGAUGUUGGCAAUACACCGGCUGGGUCUGGCUCUGACUUGCCAAGAGUUCCAAGCUAAUUGGGCUGCGGAUUCACUCACUUGAUGUAAAAGACCAAGAACUUCAGCUGCUCCAGACUUCCCUUCACAACAGUCUCUGUGUAUCCUUUCCCAUAGCCUGCAAACACAGAAGAUGCAGUGGGGUCUGGGCAGCUGCCACCAUGCCCCUUAAGCUCAAAUAACUGCAGAAACCCCGGCAGAUAGCUGUGCCACUGGCCCACUAGGGUUCUCUGCGUAUCACCCCACCUCUCCAAGUGGGUCCUGUGGAUCAGAGAGCUAGCAUCUCCUACAGCUGAUGGAAGAACGGCCACACUGCCUUCUGGGCCCCCAGUCUGUGCUCAGUACAUAAGGUGGGACUAUUAGCUUGGGGGAGACAUGACCAUGUGUGGCAUGCAAAUCGGCCAGAACUGAGAUGGGAUGAGACAAGACCAGUGUGGCUAGGGAGGGAUGGCUGGGAAUAGCCCAUGUGUGUGCACAUGGGGCACAGCUGUCCAAGCUGGUGUGCUGUGUGCAAGGUGGCUAGGGAGGGGUAAGUGUUGUGUCUCGGGCACAGAGUAGGCAGGAGGUUUGCACUCGCUGUGUGACUGCGUGUGCAGCACUCAAGGUCAGUGUAGGGCUUCCACACCACUUGGAUCUGUGUGCAUUCUCUGUCCACUAUUAACUAUACCUGGGUAGGCAACCUAUGGCACGCAUGCCUUCAGCGGCACUCACACUGCCUGGGUCCUGGCCACUGG